AUUUCAUCCAUACCAACGACGCUUAUGUAAUAUUUCAGACACAUCAUGAACAGAUUCACCAUACUAAGGUUGAUUGCAUAAAUUUUCCAAACAUCCGUGAC